rnacentral:lncRNA from 1 species
CUGACAUUGAGAAUGGAUGAAAGGUGGAAGCUGCCUGCAGUGAUAGCAUGACUGCUUUUCACAUGAUGCUUUUCUGGGGACUUGCAGCCUUUCAUGGAAGGUGGGGAUGGCCCCUUCCAGCCGCUCUUCACGGUGUGCUGUGUCUCAGGUUUUCUUUUUGUUCAUCUGAGACACAGAACAUCUCUUGAUGAAGGUCACAGCUUUGAUCCCCGUGGCUCGCUCUUGUGUUUAUAGCCAUUAUUAGUAACAUCAGCUCAUGCACGCACUUCUCCCUGCCUGCCCUUGUCUGGCUGCAAGGGAGCAGGGGCAGGAUAACAAAAGAAAGUAUAAAUAGUCUUUUUAAAAGCCUGUUAAAUAGAAAUAGACUUUUUAGGGAGGAGUUAGAAAGAAUGAGGCAUGUUACCAUAGUAACUGCCAAUGGUUUAUUUAAGAAGGGCAAAGAAACAAACACCACAAAAAGGCGAAGUCGAGAGGAAUAGAAGAUUGCUGGAGGAAUCUGUCGGGACACAGACAACACAGGGCCAGUGAUUGUUGCCAUGUUCACCUACCACCCGCGCUGCGUUCACAUCCCUGAUGUCCAUGCCACCCAAUAGGGCCUACUGCUGUGAUGCUCUGCGAUGGAUGAGCACCUGGGAAAGAGCUGUUGUCUGAAUCCCUUCCUUCUGCCAGGGCUGAGCUCCAGGAAACUUGGUCUGAACUCCCAAAUGGACAAACAUCUUCCUCACCAAAGACACACUGAACAGCUGUUGAAUGAACACAAAUAUUACUUGAUUGCUUGAAAUUAAAGUAAGAGGCACAGAAUGGGUAUCACCACAGAAAGAAAGGUAACUACAGCUUGAACUCACAGAGAACUCAUGCCACAGUCCCGCUCAGGUCUCCUGGAUCCCUGUUCUCAUGGUACCGGUUAGUCUUUAUCUCAAAAUUCCAUUUGUUUCACUUUCUUUAAAAAUAAACCAAUGCAUCUGCAUUUUGAUUUGAAAUUA